AUACGGAGGACGCGAGCGUUAUCCGGAUUCAUUGGGUUUAAAGGGUGCGCAGGCGGCCGUGCAAGUCAGCGGUGAAAGCCCGGGGCUCAACCCCGGAAGUGCCGUUGAUACUGCAUGGCUGGAAUGCGGUCGAGGCGGGCGGGACGUGGCGGGGAGCGGGGAAAUGCGUAGAUAUGCCACAGAAAGCCGAUAGCGGAGGCAGCUCGCCAGGCCUGCAUUGACGCUCGGGCACGAAAGCGUGGGGAUCGAACAGGAUUAGAUACCCUGGUAGUCCACGCCGUAAACGAUGGGCGCUCGUCGUCGGCGGCAGACAGUCGGCGGCCAAGCGAAAGCGAUAAGCGCCCCACCUGGGGAGUACGGUCGCAAGGCUGAAACUCAAAUGAAUUGACGGGG
rnacentral:rRNA from 1 species